GCGUCUGUGGCCUAAUCUAUAAGGCGUUUGACUUCUAAUGAAGCGAUAAUGGGUUCAAGUCCCACCGGGCUUG
rnacentral:tRNA from 1 species